rnacentral:rRNA from 1 species
CCAGUAGUGGGGGACAACUCGGGGAAACUCGAGCUAAUACCGCAUACCCCUUACGAGGGAAAGGCUUCGGCGCUAUUGGAUGAGCCCGCGUCAGAUUAGCUUGUUGGUGGGGUAAAAGCCUACCAAGGCGACGAUCUGUAGCUGGUCUGAGAGGACGAUCAGCCACACUGGGACUGAGACACGGCCCAGACUCCUACGGGAGGCAGCAGUGGGGAAUAUUGGACAAUGGGGGAAACCCUGAUCCAGCAAUGCCGCGUGUGUGAAGAAGGCCUGCGGGUUGUAAAGCACUUUCAGUAGGGAAGAUAAUGACGGUACCUACAGAAGAAGCACCGGCUAACUCCGUGCCAGCAGCCGCGGUAAUACGGAGGGUGCGAGCGUUAAUCGGAAUUACUGGGCGUAAAGCGCACGUAGGUGGUUUGAUAAGUCGGAUGUGAAAUCCCCGGGCUUAACCUGGGAAUUGCAUUCGAUACUGUCUCACUAGAGUCUAGCAGAGGGAUGCGGAAUUCCGGGUGUAGCGGUGAAAUGCGUAGAGAUCCGGAGAACAUCAGUGGCGAAGGGGCAUCCUGGGCUAAGACUGACACUGAGGUGCGAAAGGUGGGGAGCAAACAGGAUUAGAUACCCUGGUAGUCCACGCCGUAAACGAUGUCAACUAGCCGUUGGGAGGGUAAAACCUUUUAGUGGCGCAGUAACGCGAUAAGUUGACCGCCUGGGGAGUACGCGCGCAAGUAAAACUCAAGGAAUUGACGGGGGCCCGCACAAGCGUGGAGCAUGUGGUUUAAUUCGAUGCAACGCGAAGAACCUUACCUGGCCUUGACAUCCUGUGAACUUUCUAGAGAUAGAUUGGUGCCUUCGGGAAUACAGUGACAGGUGCUGC